rnacentral:rRNA from 1 species
GGGCCCGCACAAGCGGUGGAGCAUGUGGUUUAAUUCGAUGCAACGCGAAGAACCUUACCUACUCUUGACAUCCAGAGAAUUUAGCAGAGAUGCUUUAGUGCCUUCGGGAACUCUGAGACAGGUGCUGCAUGGCUGUCGUCAGCUCGUGUUGUGAAAUGUUGGGUUAAGUCCCGCAACGAGCGCAACCCUUAUCCUUUGUUGCCAGCGAUUCGGUCGGGAACUCAAAGGAGACUGCCGGUGAUAAACCGGAGGAAGGUGGGGAUGACGUCAAGUCAUCAUGGCCCUUACGAGUAGGGCUACACACGUGCUACAAUGGCGUAUACAAGGAGAAGCGACCUCGCGAGAGCAAGCGGAACUCAUAAAGUACGUCGUAGUCCGGAUUGGAGUCUGCAACUCGACUCCAUGAAGUCGGAAUCGCUAGUAAUCGUAGAUCAGAAUGCUACGGUGAAUACGUUCCCGGGCCUUGUACACACCGCCCGUCACACCAUGGGAGUGGGUUGCAAAAGAAGUAGGUAGCUUAACCUUCGGGAGGGCGCUUACCACUUUGUGAUUCAUGACUGGGGUGAAGUCGUAA